AGAGGAAGUAAAAGUCGUAACAAGGUUUCCGUAGGUGAACCUGCGGAAGGAUCAUUAUCGAAUUUCGAGGGAAGGGGAAGAUGGGGAGGGGAGAUUGUCGCUGGCUUCCGAGCAUGUGCACGUCUAGCUUUUUCGUCGACCCUUUCUCUUACUCUCACACCUGUGCACACAUUGUAGGUCCUCGAAAGAGGAUCUAUGUCUUUAUCAUCACACACAUCGUAUGUCUAGAAUGUAACACGAUCGUUGACCGACCUCGCGGUCGGCCGGCGGUCAAUUAAAAACAAAUACAACUUUCAGCAACGGAUCUCUUGGCUCUCGCAUCGAUGAAGAACGCAGCGAAUUGCGAUAAGUAAUGUGAAUUGCAGAUUUUCAGUGAAUCAUCGAAUCUUUGAACGCACCUUGCGCUCCUUGGUAUUCCGAGGAGCAUGCCUGUUUGAGUGUCAUGUAAUUAUCAACCAUGUCUCGAUUCAUUUCGAGCCUUGGCUUGGACUUGGGGGUUGCUGGCGGUGAAAGCUGUCGGCUCUCCUGAAAUGUAUUAGCGAUGGACAGCAAGUCUGACGUGCACGGCCUCGACGUGAUAAUGAUCGUCGUCGCUGGAGUGUCGGACGAGCGCGAAUACGUCCCUUUGCUUCUAAUCCUUUUUGACUUGGACUUUCGAGCGAAGCCUUAGCUACUAGCUGGUCGUGAGGCCGACGAACGCGGGCGGGCUUUGGAGGUCCCUAGUCAAUCCUUUGCGACUUGACCUCAAAUCAGGUAGGACUACCCGCUGAACUUAAGCAUAUCAAUA
rnacentral:rRNA from 1 species